GGUCUUAGUGAUCCGGUGGUUCUGAAUGGAAGGGCCAUCGCUCAACGGAUAAAAGGUACUCCGGGGAUAACAGGCUGAUACCGCCCAAGAGUUCAUAUCGACGGCGGUGUUUGGCACCUCGAUGUCGGCUCAUCACAUCCUGGGGCUGAAGUAGGUCCCAAGGGUAUGGCUGUUCGCCAUUUAAAGUGGUACGCGAGCUGGGUUUAGAACGUCGUGAGACAGUUCGGUCCCUAUCUGCCGUGGGCGCUGGAGAAUUGAGGGGGGCUGCUCCUAGUACGAGAGGACCGGAGUGGACGCAUCACUGGUGUUCGGGUUGUCAUGCCAAUGGCAUUGCCCGGUAGCUAAAUGCGGAAGAGAUAAGUGCUGAAAGCAUCUAAGCACGAAACUUGCCCCGAGAUGAGUUCUCCCUGACUCCU
rnacentral:rRNA from 1 species